rnacentral:lncRNA from 1 species
AUCAGCUGGGUGUGCGUGUGCGAUAAUAGCGAUGUUAACAUGGACGAUUCCGACACAAACCAACGGCUUUUCAUGGGCAUUGGACGGCUCAAUAGCAAUCCGAGUUUUGCUCACUACUAUACCUCAGAAUUCUCUGGUGAUUACAAGUGAUGGAGCGUAUGGGCAUCAUUGUUUUGCUAAAAGAAAACACAGGCAUCACUUGUCAGCAUAGAGUUCUGCCAAAAUUGACAGUGUGUGCUCUUUUCUAGAUUUGUCUUCUAAAAUUAAAAUCCGUGAGUCCAAAAUUACAAAUCGCUUUUAAUCCUUGUAUUUCUUGCAUCAAGAUCUUUAAAAUUUGAUUCCAUGCUGAAAGGCUUUCACGAACUUUCUUCAAACGGAAUUUGUGCUUCCAACUGCACUAACCUAUGCCGUCGCAAAAGAAAAAAAAACUACACUAACCUAUAAUAUCAACGUGAACUAACCCGUACUUCAAUCUAGUAGUAACUUACUACUGAUUGGGGGCCUGCACAUGACGUGCCGCCUGAGAGGAAUCUCUAUGGUGCCACGUAGGCACACACCGUUUCCAUUUUACUGUUUGUACUACGUGAUAUUAUUUCAUCAGAUUUGGUACAUGCAAACUUCUAACUGGAACAAUAAGACACACGUGUGCAAAACCAACGCAAUCUGAUAAUGGAUUCUCAUCGGCUACAUGAAGUACUGACAUUGUCUAACACUGAUAUGAUUGCGUUGUCCCUAGUUAUAUACUCUACCUACUCUAAAUUUUCCACACCUCUCUUUUUUGGGGUAUCAAAACGAGUGGAACUAAACGUAGAACACAAGUAGUACAACAAAUAAUCAGUAAUGGUUCACCGCAAAACUAUAGAGUAUACUCACCUGCUCCUACGUGUUUGUGUUCGUCACAUCAGUAGCAAUUGGGUCCUCCGUUGUCACAUCACCAACCGGGGCAACUGUCGCCAUAGCCACCUCGUCGGUGAGCAGAUCACCAUUGGUGGUGGUGGUCUGGUGAUGCCCUUUCUUGCCAUCCUGCUAGUGGGUCCUAGGCUCAAUGAGGAACUAGAAGAGUGGUCUCACGAAGGCCUUAUGUGGACGAAAGAUCGGUCGGCGCUCCUGUCCCGGGAAUAUGGCGGCGAACAACAAGGACGAAUACGAUAGGCUCCUCAUGUCCAUGAACAUGUACCAACCCUCCCAAUAUGCGUUCUUGGGAAACUCAUGCCUUACAAAGAGGAAGAAUAGAAAGAAAUAAGGAGAGAAACUUGUAUAACACUGACAGGACUAAAAUUCAAAACCAACAAAGCAAUUUCACUAAUCACAACCUUUUUCUAAGAAUGCAACCCAAGCCAAGUCUACGAGAAAUGCAACCCAAGCCAAGUCUACGAGACUGUCAACAACCCUCCUCAUUUGAUUAGUCAGGUCUGCUUCCUUCAAGGUCAUGAGAUUGUUAGUAACACUCUUCAUAUGAUUAAAGUAGCCAAGUCUCCUUACUUCAGUCACAGAAGUUGUGUUUGUAAUAUUGUUAUAGAGAGGUUUAAAGAAAUUAUGCGCAUUGGCCAUUGAUGGAGGUUUUUGCAUAACAAAGAAACAAAAAAUGCUCAGAGAUGGAAGGAUCAGAAUUGCAUUUUGACCCAUCUAGCGCGAUGCUAUUGUAUACCGCAACAUCCUAUGCUAAAGAAAACCCCACAAGCAUGUUCAUGAUACUAUGAAAGUAAUGGCUUGUUAUGCAAAUAAUUAUCGAUUUAUAACAGCUACUUGUGGUAUGGAGUCCCAGAUUAAAACCCACAAUAGACUCCUUACUAUAUACUGGAAUUGCUUAAAAUAAUCAAAUGGGUGUACCUAUAAUAAAGGAAGCAUACAUAUUAUUAUAGAACCAAAUAUGAAACAAUAUGCAAACUUUGCAUUUUUGUCAUAUAAGUGAAAUUUGGAAGAUAUGAACCUUUUUAUGAGGAUAAGCGUACUUUCUUUGGGAUGCUCAUAUCGGUCUUAUAAGGAAGGUCAAUAAAUAUAUGAGCACAUCAAGGAUCCCCAAAAGUUGCACCAUAAGAAAAGAAUGCAAGAGUAGAGAGGAAACACCAAGGGGGUUACAUUAGUAAACCUGAUCUCAUCCUAGAACUCGUAGAACCAAGGGUGUGUUUGGUUGGAGAACCAACUGUCAUGGAAUGGAAUGGUUCCAUUCCAGAGGAACGGGCCGGUUCCGUUCCUGUGUUUGGUACGAGCAAAAAAGUGGAACGAGAUGGUUCCAUUCGAGUGUUUGGUUGGGAG